rnacentral:rRNA from 1 species
CCUACGGGUGGCAGCAGUGAGGAAUAUUGGUCAAUGGACGAGAGUCUGAACCAGCCAAGUAGCGUGAAGGAUGACUGCCCUAUGGGUUGUAAACUUCUUUUAUAAAGGAAUAAAACGAGGCACGUGUGCCUUUUUGCAUGUACUUUAUGAAUAAGGAACGGCUAACUCCGUGCCAGCAGCCGCGGUAAUACGGAGGGUCCGAGCGUUAUCCGGAUUUAUUGGGUGUAAAGGGAGCGUAGGUGGGGUGUUAAGUCAGUUGUGAAAGUUUGCGGCUCAACCGUAAAAUUGCAAUUGAUACUGGCGGUCUUGAGUGCAGUUGAGGUAGGCGGAAUUCUUGGUGUAGCGGUGAAAUGCUUAGAUAUCACGAAGAACACCGAUUGCGAAGGCAGCUUACUAAUCUGUAACUGACGUUGAUGCUCGAAAGUGUGGGUAGCAAACAGGAUUAGAUACCCCUGUAGUC